UGCAAACUGAGCUUGCCUCUCUCGGAGCGCGGAGGCCGGGAGGGAGGGCCCUGGAGCUGAGCAGGGCCGGGGCCGGACGGCGGACACUGCCUGCGGAUGGUGGGAGGGAGGCAGGAAGGCGAGACCGGGCGCCGGAGGCGGAUCACAGCCGCGGCAACGACGCGAACAAGAUUCCCCAUAAACAGCGGAUCUGUUUAUAGAGUCACCAGCGAAGGCACACACUGGACACAUGAUCUUGGAGAUUUUUCGAUGGAAGCACACCGUGUCCCGUAGUCUAUUUAGUAAGACUCUUCCAGGGGACAUUCAGCAUUUGUACUUCUUUUGCUACUUCCAACAACGAUGCAGCGGAUACCCUAGUGUGUAAGUCACUUUGUGCGUGUAUUGUGACAUGGACAUGGAAUUGCUUGCUCAAAGGGCAUUUGCAUUUUGCACAUUGAUAGGCUUCAUGGGGGGAAUUCAACGCAGGGGAUGCUGGGACCAGAUCUGUUUUAGGAAGAUCCGCUUGGAGGCACCAGGAUGAGGCGAAGGAGGAAAGAGACAAGUGUGGAGGGUGUUGUGAUCGCACCAGGUGAAGUAUCAUGAGGGCCAGAGCAGAGCGCUGGCUGAGGAAAGGGAGAGAAGGGCACGUGUGGAAGAGAC
rnacentral:lncRNA from 1 species